rnacentral:rRNA from 1 species
AUUGAACGCUGGCGGCAUGCCUUACACAUGCAAGUCGAACGGCAGCGGACCUUCGGGUGCCGGCGAGUGGCGAACGGGUGAGUAAUAUAUCGGAACGUACCUUUCAGUGGGGGAUAACGUAGCGAAAGUUACGCUAAUACCGCAUAUUCUGUGAGUAGGAAAGCAGGGGAUCGCAAGACCUUGCGCUGAUUGAGCGGCCGAUAUCAGAUUAGCUAGUUGGUGAGGUAAAGGCUCACCAAGGCGACGAUCUGUAGCGGGUCUGAGAGGAUGAUCCGCCACACUGGAACUGAGACACGGUCCAGACUCCUACGGGAGGCAGCAGUGGGGAAUUUUGGACAAUGGGCGCAAGCCUGAUCCAGCCAUGCCGCGUGAGUGAAGAAGGCC